GCCCAGUGACUAUAUGUUCAACGGCCGCGGUAUUCUGACCGUGCAAAGGUAGCGUAAUCACUUGUCUUUUAAAUAAAGACUGGUAUGAAUGGCACCACGAAGGUUCAACUGUCUCCUGCAUCCAAUCCAUUAAACUGACCUCCCCGUGCAGAGGCGGGGAUAUUCCCAUAAGACGAGAAGACCCUAUGGAGCUUUAAACUUACGGCAACUGCUAAACAAUCCAACCCCACACGGGAAAACAGACAAUUAAGCAACAAUGACCUAGAGUUUUCGGUUGGGGCGACCACGGAGAAAAAAAAAUCCUCCUUGAUGUACGGGGCCUUACCCUCUUAACCAAGAACGACAGUUCUAAGUAACAAAACAUUUGACCACUAUUGAUCCAGUCCAACUGAUCAACGAACCAAGUUACCCUAGGGAUAACAGCGCAAUCCAUUUCGAAAGUUCCUAUCGACAAAUGGGUUUACGACCUCGAUGUUGGAUCAG
rnacentral:rRNA from 1 species